UAACCUUCGGGAGGGCGCUUACCACGGUGAGAUUCAUGACUGGGGUGAAGUCGUAACAAGGUAGCCGUAUCGGAAGGUGCGGCUGGAUCACCUCCUUUCAAG
rnacentral:rRNA from 1 species